UGUAUGGGGAUCGGGCAGAGAGAGAAAUUGAUCGGGUGGAGAGAGAAACCGAUCAGAACGAGAAGCCAUUCAGUGAAUAUUGCGUGAGGAGUAAGAUGAGAGGAACGGAUCGGGAGGAGAGGGGAACUGAUCGGGUGGAGAGAGAAACCGAUCAGAAUGAGAAACCACUCAGCGAAUGUUGCCCAGGGAGUAAGAUGAGAGGAACGGAUCGGGAGGAGAGGGAAGCUGAUCGGGUAGAGAGAGAAANCGAUCCGAGUAGGAAGCCAUUCAGUGAUAAAGUGUGGAGCGACAAUUCCGGAGGCACAGACNNCGGUUACGUUUAGUGGGCGAAAAGUCAGGGAUUGUGGGCU
rnacentral:lncRNA from 1 species